AGACCAGAGGAACAGCCUCAAGUUCAGUCGGACCUUUCUAAGGAGGUUUUGUUGGAAUUCCACAAGACCCUAGUUCUGAAGGUAGGACAAAGAAGGAGAAGAGAACUGCACUGACAGACUAUACCUGCAGGCCCGCUUCACUUGGCGAGGAGCCCGCCUGCUCCGGCCCCUCCUGCAGUUCACCUUGAUCAUGAUGGCCUUCUACACGGGACUGUCUCGCGUAUCAGACCACAAGCACCAUCCCAGUGAUGUUCUGGCAGGAUUUGCUCAAGGAGCCCUGGUGGCCUGCUGCAUAGUUUUCUUCGUGUCUGACCUCUUCAAGACUAAGACGACGCUCUCCCUGCCUGCCCCUGCUAUCCGGAAGGAAAUCCUUUCACCUGUGGACAUUAUUGACAGGAACAAUCACCACAACAUGAUGUAGGUGCCACCCACCUCCUGAGCUGUUUUUGUAAAAUGACUGCUGACAGCAAGUUCUUGCUGCUCUCCAAUCUCAUCAGACAGUAGAAUGUAGGGAAAAACUUUUGCCCGACUGAUUUUUAAAAAGGAAAAAAAAAAUGUUUUACUAUGUGGCCUUCCAAAAUAGGUAGUGUUUGCCUAUGUGGAAACAACAGCAAACUAACACCAAGUGCCAGAGUCCUGGAUGUGCAAUUGGUUUAAGUGUUCAUGUUCUAGUGAACACAGCUUGUUCAGGAACAA
rnacentral:lncRNA from 1 species